GGGAGGGGCUGGGUUUGAUUGGUGUCAUUGGGUACGGGAGUUAUUUCUUGGGUAGCUCUAGGACCUUGGGUAGCUUUAAGAAGAGAUUGGACAAAUAUAUGAGUGGGAGGGGCUGGGUUUGAUUGGUGUCAUUGGGUACGGGAGUUAUUUCUUGGGUAGCUCUAGGUAGAGGUAGUUUUGAUAAGGACCUGCCUUGCAUGGGCCAGUAGGCCUUCUGCAGUGUUCCUCCAUUCUUAUGUUCUUAUGUACCAUUUUGCCUGAGAAGCAGGUGAUUUAAUUACUAGUCUCUCAGCCUUGAUAGAUGAUAAGUCUCUUAGUUUUGAUCAGUCUGAAGCAUAGGCAGAAGGAAAUAUUUUUACACACCGAAGGUCACCUCCCACUGUUAUAGCAUGGGAGAUGACUAUCAUUCAUUCAUUUGCUGUUUUGCCUGAAAUGUACAGACAUCACAGUUUAGAUGAUGCUCCAAACUGCAACAUCCUUACCCCUCCUUUAGAAUGCAGCCACUGUACUUCCCACUUCCAAGAUUCUAAGUCCAGCAAUUUCCCCUGAAUUUUAUUAUAUGUUACCUUGCUUAUAAUCCAAUAUCCUGAUAAACUCUAAACACCACUUAGUCUCUACUCUGAUCCAACACACUCACACAAGCCUUU